rnacentral:misc_RNA from 1 species
GUGAAUCAUCAAAUCUUUGAACGCAAAUUGCACUUUCUGGUAUUCCGGGAAGUAUGCCUGUUUGAGGAUCAUUUAAAUAAAAAUCGGUGUUGUUGCUGCUUUUCUUGGUGACGCGUCGGAAUUGAUUUGUCUUACCUUCUGUUAAUUUACUUAAAAGUUUGCAUUAGUUUCUAACGUAUUUAAAUUUCUUACGUACUUUUAAGAUAUCGAAUACUUUAUUAAGUUCGGUCAUCCUCAUAAGUCGCACCUAUAAGUUUUCAUUAAAUGACCUCACAU